rnacentral:rRNA from 1 species
GACGAACGCUGGCGGCGUGCCUAAUACAUGCAAGUCGAGCGGACUUUCAAGAAGCUUGCUUUUUGAAAGUUAGCGGCGGACGGGUGAGUAACACGUGGGCAACCUGCCUGUAAGACGGGGAUAACUCCGGGAAACCGGGGCUAAUACCGGAUAAUAUCUUUCUUCGCAUGAAGGAAGGUUGAAAGGCGGCGCAAGCUGCCGCUUGCAGAUGGGCCCGCGGCGCAUUAGCUAGUUGGUGAGGUAACGGCUCACCAAGGCGACGAUGCGUAGCCGACCUGAGAGGGUGAUCGGCCACACUGGGACUGAGACACGGCCCAGACUCCUACGGGAGGCAGCAGUAGGGAAUCUUCCGCAAUGGACGAAAGUCUGACGGAGCAACGCCGCGUGAGCGAAGAAGGUCUUCGGAUCGUAAAGCUCUGUUGUCAGGGAAGAACAAGUACCGUUCGAAUAGGGCGGUACCUUGACGGUACCUGACCAGAAAGCCACGGCUAACUACGUGCCAGCCGCCGCCGUAA